ACGGAAGGCAGCAGUGGGGAAUAUUGCACAAUGGGGGAAACCCUGAUGCAGCAACGCCGCGUGAAGGAAGACGGUCUUCGGAUUGUAAACUUUUGUUCUUAGUGAAGAUAAUGACGGUAGCUAAGGAGAAAGCCACGGCUAACUACGUGCCAGCAGCCGCGGUAAUACGUAGGUGGCAAGCGUUGUCCGGAAUUACUGGGUGUAAAGGGCGCGUAGGCGGGGAUGCAAGUCAGAUGUGAAAUCUAUGGGCUUAACCCAUAAACUGCAUUUGAAACUGUAUCUCUUGAGUGUCGGAGAGGUAGAUGGAAUUCCUAGUGUAGCGGUGAAAUGCGUAGAUAUUAGGAGGAACACCAGUGGCGAAGGCGAUCUACUGGACGAUAACUGACGCUGAGGCGCGAAAGCGUGGGGAGCAAACAGGAUUAGAUACCCUGGUA
rnacentral:rRNA from 1 species